rnacentral:rRNA from 1 species
GGUUGUAAACUCCUUUUCCCGGGGAAGAAUAAUGACGGUACCCGGGGAAUAAGCCUCGGCUAACUACGUGCCAGCAGCCGCGGUAAUACGUAGGAGGCGAGCGUUAUCCGGAUUUACUGGGCGUAAAGAGCGCGUAGGCGGCCCUUCAAGUCGGAUGUAAAAUCUCCCGGCUUAACUGGGAGGGAUCAUCCGAUACUGCUGGGCUAGAGUGCAGCAGAGGAAAGCGGAAUUCCCGGUGUAGUGGUGAAAUGCGUAGAUAUCGGGAGGAACACCAGUGGCGAAGGCGGCUUUCUGGGCUGUAACUGACGCUGAGGCGCGAAGGCGUGGGGAGCAAACAGGAUUAGAUACCCUGGUAGUCCACGCAGUUAACGAUGGACACUAGGUAUGGGGAGUAUCGACCCUCUCUGUGCCGAAGCUAACGCUUUAAGUGUCCCGCC